AGUGAGGAAUAUUGGUCAAUGGACGUAAGUCUGAACCAGCCAUGCCGCGUGCAGGAAGACGGCCUUAUGGGUUGUAAACUGCUUUUAUAUAGGAAGAAACCUAGAUACGUGUAUCUAGCUGACGGUACUAUAAGAAUAAGGACCGGCUAACUCCGUGCCAGCAGCCGCGGUAAUACGGAGGGUCCAAGCGUUAUCCGGAUUCAUUGGGUUUAAAGGGUCCGUAGGCGGUUUAUUAAGUCAGUGGUGAAAUCGUGUGGCUCAACCAUGCAACUGCCAUUGAAACUGAUAAACUUGAAAUAGAUUGAAGUUGGCGGAAUAUAACAAGUAGCGGUGAAAUGCAUAGAUAUGUUAUAGAACACCAAUUGCGAAGGCAGCUGACUAAGUCUUAUUUGACGCUGAGGGACGAAAGCGUAGGUAGCGAA
rnacentral:rRNA from 1 species